rnacentral:misc_RNA from 1 species
AACCAUAGAAACCUGCGGAGUACCUGCGGAAGGAUCAUUAUUGAAUUUAAACAAAGGGUAUUUAGGUUGUAGCUGGCUCCAUUAGUUUGGAGCAUGUGCACACCUUUUGCUCUUUUUUUAAUCCACACACACCUGUGAACCUGUGAGGCAGAGACAUGGAUGGGAGAACUUUCAUUUACUUUAAAAUGAAUGAUUGGGACCCCUACCCCCCUCUGUCUACUCAACUCUAAUAUAAACCCA